AAGAAAGGAGAAGCGGCAACAAGGCCGCCCACAAGCACCUAACAUUGAGAUCCACUGACAACAUUGGAUUUGAUGAUGUGGACGACAGGGAAACCCUGGGAGCAUCCAACAAUUCUGCCCAGAAAUGUACCCACGCAUGCUACUUUUCAAAAUCCCCUGUGUAUAGCAAGUUCCUGGGGCUAAACCGAAGAUCUGUGUGGUUUUUUUUUUGCAUCUGGAUGAAGCGUGUCCCCCUCGUGGAUCUAUUAAUGUUGCUACAAACCUAAAACCAAGACAUCGAUGAUGGAUACAUAGUAGUAAAUAAAGUUCGCUUGUUCAAAUCUGCUCA